rnacentral:rRNA from 1 species
GACGAACGCUGGCGGCGUGCUUAACACAUGCAAGUCGAACGGAAAGUCCCUGCUUUUGUGGGGUGCUCGAGUGGCGAACGGGUGAGUAACACGUGAGUAACCUGCCCUUGACUUUGGGAUAACUUCAGGAAACUGGGGCUAAUACCGGAUAGGAGCUCCUGCUGCAUGGUGGGGGUUGGAAAGUUUCGGCGGUUGGGGAUGGACUCGCGGCUUAUCAGCUUGUUGGUGGGGUAGUGGCUUACCAAGGCUUUGACGGGUAGCCGGCCUGAGAGGGUGACCGGACACAUUGGGACUGAGAUACGGCCCAGACUCCUACGGGAGGCAGAAGUGGGGAAUAUUGCACAAUGGGCGGAAGCCUGAUGCAGCAAAGCCGCGUGCGGGAUGACGGCCUUCGGGUUGUAAACCGCUUUCGCCUGUGACGAAGCGUGAGUGACGGUAAUGGGUAAAGAAGCACCGGCUAACUACGUG